UGAUGGAUCUAAGUGGGAGCUAGGGGUUCCCUUAGAAGCAAUGCUUCGACCGCAAACCCCCUAUACGGCGGACGACGCUGAAGUGAGGCCUUUAGGCUCCAUCAACGCCUUUACUUAGUCGCCAUGAAUCUUCGUCCUCUGGGGCUCACGGUUGUGGGGCAAUCUUCGGAGGGAGGUUGUUUCCGCAUUCGUUGGGUGAAUCUGGCCAGGCUCGGAAGAGAGCAACCUAAACUCAGACGAUGGGCGUUCAGAGGAGUGCGGAGAAGAGUGAAGAGGUCUUGGACUUGGUGGUAACACCGGAUGUCGAUCUUCAGUGAUCCGUCA
rnacentral:SRP_RNA from 1 species